rnacentral:rRNA from 2 species
UACGAAGGGGGCUAGCGUUGCUCGGAAUUACUGGGCGUAAAGGGCGCGUAGGCGGACAUUUAAGUCAGGGGUGAAAUCCCGGGGCUCAACCUCGGAACUGCCUUUGAUACUGGGUGUCUUGAGUGUGAGAGAGGUAUGUGGAACUCCGAGUGUAGAGGUGAAAUUCGUAGAUAUUCGGAAGAACACCAGUGGCGAAGGCGACAUACUGGCUCAUUACUGACGCUGAGGCGCGAAAGCGUGGGGAGCAAACAGG